ensembl:lncRNA
AUGCAAAAGGCUUGCCUCCAGGUUACAACAACACAACCACACCACAAUUCCACAAUCCCUACAUUCACACUUGGCCUCCAAAAAAACAAUUACAAUAAUAACAAUGACAACAACAACAACAAUAAGAAUCAACACCAUCACAAGCAAGAAACACCAGGCACUGAGGCUGAGAGGCCAGUCAGUGCUACACUGGGCCUCCAAAAAAACAAUACAGUAGCAUCUAACUUAUCCAGCCUUCAUGACCACAACAACAACAAUAAUAAUAAACAGCUACACAGGCAAAACAAAAAAAAGACUAUUGUACCACAAUAAAAAUAUAAACCGCACUCAGCAGAAUCAGACAUUACAACUAACAACAAACCAAAGACAACAGGGAUCUCAAGCAAUUAUCAAUCAACACAAAAAUUGAAGAAGGUAACAGACUUCAAAUACUACUAAUGUGAGUAUAAAGAAGGGUGGAGGUCACAGCAUAAAUACAACCUAAUGUAGACUGACCAACACCACCAGACUAAGCCACAGCAACACGUGGCCGGGCACAGCUAGUGAUUUUAUAAGCUUCUAACGUUGUUCUUUCCAUCCCUGUCCCAGUCCCCAUUUAGCCAUUUUCUUUUCCCAGUCCUACCUGAAAGACAAAUGUAUGGCAGGUCCUCUUCUGCUCAGUUAUUCUUAUACAGUGCAAAGUGUGGAUCACCUUCCAUACGGCAAUGCCCUAAGUGGAGCUAUUCCUCAAUGCAUUCUGAAUGCUUGAGAAGUAUGAUAUGGAAAAGUUCAGAUGUGGGGUUAUGAAGUCAAUGAAUCUUUGAAUUUCCCCAAAUGUUCACCCUUUGAGUUAGCAGCACAAGCGUAACAAGCGUGGUUUGAUUGAUCUCCAUUGAUUUUCACCAAGCAGUGAGCAAUCUUUGACAUAUUUAAAUAGAAGAUGACUAAUUUCUCUCAUCAGUAGAGAAACCCUCAUUGCACGCAAGGUCUCUUCUCACGGACUUUAGCUAAACUUUCGUUAUUCAAAGUCACACAAUAUUUUCCAAGGCUCCAGGAAGAUACAGUGGAGGUCAUGUGUGUGUGUGUGUGUGUGUAUGUAUUUGAUUUGUACCUGAUUUUUAUGCUUAAAAUGGGAUUUAAACAAGUUUAUAGCAAGAUGAAAUCAAAUGCAAUCAAAUGUUUAAACUGGUUUAACAUGUUCAAAUACUUUUAGCUAGAAAACAUAACUUAAAGCAAUUGAAAAUGAACAAAAACAUGAAACACCUUCAUCGCAAAAGCAUUUUCUUUCACUGGAUUGCUGUGAGUUUCCUGGGCUGCAUGGCCAUGUUCCAGAAGCAUUCUCUCCUGACGUUUCACCCACAUCUAUGGCAGGCAUCCUCAGAGGUUGUGAGGUCUGUUGGAAACUAGGCAAGUGGGGUUUAUAUAUCUGUGGAAUGUCCAGGGUGGGAGAAAGAACUUUUGUCUGUUUGAGACAAGUAUGAAUGUUGAAAUUAGAGAGAAUGUUCCUGGAACAUGUCCAUACAGCCCAGAAAACUCAUAGCAACUCAGUGAUUCUGGCCAUGAAAGCCUUCGACUACAUAUUUACUUUCAGUUACCCAAGUGUCAAAAGGAUAAGAGGGUGCAUCUACACUGUGGAAUUAAAACAGUUUGACACCACUUUUACUGCCAUGGCUCAAAGCUAUAGAAUCAUGGGUGCUGGAGUUUUACAAGGCCUCUAGCCUUCUUUGCCAGAGUGCUGGUGUCUCACCAAACUACAAAUCCCAGCUUGUAAUAGCAUUGAGCCAUGGCAGUUAAAGUGCUGUUAAACUGCAUUAAUUCCGCAUUGUGUAAAUGUACCCAGAGAGGGAAGGAGACUUUUGCUUCCAAAAGAGAAAAAACAAACAAUGCAUUUACUUAUAUAGGCAGUUCCCAAAUUUCAAACAAAAUAGGUUCUGUAGGUUUGUUCAUAAGUGAAUUUAUAUAUAAGUCGGAACAGGUACAUGGAUAGCAGUCAUGGAUAGCAUGAGGAAGAGUUAAUGUCCCUGUGGUGUUUGUUUUGCUGCUUGUGCUCCUGUUCAGAAGAUUUCACCUCACUUUCUGUCCCUGUGAGGAUUGGAUUCUGAAAAAUCUUGCUUGUUGUGGAAACAAGGAUUGGUGCAAAACGAUCUGUGGAGACACCUUUUCCCCAUGAUAACUCUUUCUGGAGUAAAUUUCCCUUCCAAGGGAUAGAUUGCUCUCACUUCCUGUUGUCUCACCUCCAUUCUUAACUAUGAGUCAUUUGGAAGUCGGAUUUUUGUAACUUGGGGACUGCCUAUACUGUUAAAUUCAUCACUAGGGAAAAUAACAAGAUGGGAAAAAAGUUUUAUGUACAUGAUGUUCGUGCUGGAGGGGAAGUUUCUAAUGCUCCCAGUUCUGAAUGUGGUGGACUUCUACUGCCACUAACUGAAGCAUACUAAACCAAAUUCUAUUUAUGGGCACAUUUGCAUAGGCCUGCGUGUUAUAUCGUUUUUCUUUCAUCUUCCUGAUAAUAGAGGUUUGUGCCCCCUUAUUCAGAUGUAUCAUCCAUGGCCAGCUAAAUCACAGCAUAAACUAUACAACUAAAUCUAAAACCACUCUCAAUUCAUAAGAAGAUAAAAGAAAAUCUUAUACAUGUUGAGUCUCUGCUUUUAACCAGAUAUUUGAAUACCUGUAUAGCAUAUGGAGCGCCCGGUGGCACAGCGAAUUAAACUGCUGACUGCUGAUCUUGCUGACUGAAAGGUUGGCAAUUCGAAUCCGGGAAGCGGGGUGAGCUCCCGCUGUUAGCCCAGCUUCUGCCAACCUAGCAGUUCAAAAACAUGCAAAUGUGAGUAGAUCAAUAGAUACUGCUCCAGCAGGAGGGUAACGGUGCUCCAUGCAGUCAUGCUGGCCACAUGACUUUGGAGGUGUCUACGAACAACACCGGCUCUUCGGCUUAGAAAUGGAGAUGAACACCAACCUCCAGAGUUGGACAUGACUGGACUUAAUGUCAGGGGAAAACCUUUACCUUUACCAAUGGCAUAUAUGUAUAUAGUGAGCAAGGUAUGGAUGGAAAGGGGGAUCAUUUUUCUAAAAGAGCCCUAAUAGACAAAAGAAGAAAGGGGGGAAGGGGGUUUUUUUUCCGUGUCAGGAGCAACUUGAGAAACUGCAAGUCACUUCUGGUGUGAGAGAAUUGGCCAUCUGCAAGGAUGUUGCCCAGGGGACGCCCGGAUGUUUGAUGUUUUACCAUUCUUGUGGACUCUGUGAACACAUUGUCCCGUAAAAAGGAAGCCCAGUGAUACUUCCCUGGUGGUUAGCACACUUUCUGCCCUGUUAGCAAAGUAGCCAGAAAGAGAGGACCCCCCCCCCCCUCAACACACACACACAUUAAUCUUUUUCACUUGGGGAAAGGCAAGUGCAGAUUUUGUUGACCAAGAAUCACUUUUAAAAAACCCAGAUGAGACCAGAUCAGGUACAUUUAUUUUCAUUGGUAUGACAGGUUUUAAAAUUGUAAGUGGCUGAAGUUUCUUUUAAAAUGAGCACGCAUUCCUUCUGUGGUGAGUGUUAACAGUUGGUGGUUGACAAUAAGUGAAUCAGGGAGGAAGGGAUUGGUUAGAUCAGUGGUUCCCCAACUUAUUCAGUUCUCAGAUUUCCUGACUGUUGGCCAAGCUAUCUGGGCUUCUGAAGAUUUGGGUCUGUUUAGCCUGCAGAAGAGAUGGUUGAGAGGAGACAUGAUCGCCAGGUAUAAAUAAAUAUGUGAAAGGAUGGCAUAAGGAAGAGGAAGCAGGCUUGUUUUCUGAUGCCCUGGAGAAGGACUCAAUGGGUUUAAAUCACAGGAAAGGAGAUUCCACCUGAACAUUAGGAAGAGCUUCUUGACUGUAAGAGCUGUUCAGCAGUGGAACUUCCUACCUCGGAGUGUAGUGGAAGCUCCUUCUAGGAAGACCUUUAAACAGAGGUUGGAUGGCUAUCUAUCAGGGGUGCUUUGAUUGUGCUUUUCCUGUAUGGCAGGGGGUUGGACUGGAUGGCCCAUGUGGUCUCUUCCAACCCUAUUAUACUGUGAUUUUAUGAUUCUAAGUCCAAAACAAGACAAGAGAGACUAGGAUAAAAAGAAAGUUGAUGAAAAUAAAACUGCAAUUGGCUUAGUUGAAUUUCAGAUAUUGAAAUUCAGGGUGCAUCUACACUGCUGAAUUAAUGCAAUGUGACACUACUUUAACUGCUAUGGUUCAAUGCUAUGGAACCAUAUGAGUUAUAGUUUUACAAGGCUCUUUGACAGUCUGCUGUUGCCUCACCAAACUACAACUGAGCUAUUGCAGUUAAAGGGGUGUCAAACUACGUUAAUUUAACAUGAUAACAUAUUUUAAGAAAUACAACCAGUAGACAUGAAUUGGAUUAAUGAAACCCAGAAAAUAGUGAGAAAGAGUGGGAAUAGUGAGAAUUUUGGUGGGAGGCAAACAACAUCCUUAAAAAUGUGCUUACAAGUGGAAUCAAAAGAAGCUGUUUUCCUCAUAGACUACAAUAAAAACCAACCACAACUCUCCAUGAUUGCUUUGAAAAGGGAGGAGAGAUAAGGAACUAAUUUUUAAUUUUUAUUUCCAUGUUUUUAGUGUAUUUAUAUUUUUCUGCUAUUGGCUGCAUUGAACACUGUGUACUGGAAAGCGGGAUAGUAAAAUGAAAUACAUGCACAGAACUUUUAAGUGGCAACAUAGGAAGGAAUUGAGAAGAGUGUGGUUUACACAUGUUUCCUUUGUUGUACACAUGUUAU